AAAUUGAAGAGUUUGAUCAUGGCUCAGAUUGAACGCUGGCGGCAGGCCUAACACAUGCAAGUCGAACGGUAACAGGAAGAAGCUUGCUGCUUCGCUGACGAGUGGCGGACGGGUGAGUAAUGUCUGGGAAACUGCCUGAUGGAGGGGGAUAACUACUGGAAACGGUAGCUAAUACCGCAUAACGUCGCAAGACCAAAGAGGGGGACCUUAGGGCCUCUUGCCAUCGGAUGUGCCCAGAUGGGAUUAGCUAGUAGGUGGGGUAACGGCUCACCUAGGCGACGAUCCCUAGCUGGUCUGAGAGGAUGACCAGCCACACUGGAACUGAGACACGGUCCAGACUCCUACGGGAGGCAGCAGUGGGGAAUAUUGCACAAUGGGCGCAAGCCUGAUGCAGCCAUGCCGCGUGUAUGAAGAAGGCCUUCGGGUUGUAAAGUACUUUCAGCGGGGAGGAAGGGAGUAAAGUUAAUACCUUUGCUCAUUGACGUUACCCGCAGAAGAAGCACCGGCUAACUCCGUGCCAGCAGCCGCGGUAAUACGGAGGGUGCAAGCGUUAAUCGGAAUUACUGGGCGUAAAGCGCACGCAGGCGGUUUGUUAAGUCAGAUGUGAAAUCCCCGGGCUCAACCUGGGAACUGCAUCUGAUACUGGCAAGCUUGAGUCUCGUAGAGGGGGGUAGAAUUCCAGGUGUAGCGGUGAAAUGCGUAGAGAUCUGGAGGAAUACCGGUGGCGAAGGCGGCCCCCUGGACGAAGACUGACGCUCAGGUGCGAAAGCGUGGGGAGCAAACAGGAUUAGAUACCCUGGUAGUCCACGCCGUAAACGAUGUCGACUUGGAGGUUGUGCCCUUGAGGCGUGGCUUCCGGAGCUAACGCGUUAAGUCGACCGCCUGGGGAGUACGGCCGCAAGGUUAAAACUCAAAUGAAUUGACGGGGGCCCGCACAAGCGGUGGAGCAUGUGGUUUAAUUCGAUGCAACGCGAAGAACCUUACCUGGUCUUGACAUCCACAGAACUUUCCAGAGAUGGAUUGGUGCCUUCGGGAACUGUGAGACAGGUGCUGCAUGGCUGUCGUCAGCUCGUGUUGUGAAAUGUUGGGUUAAGUCCCGCAACGAGCGCAACCCUUAUCCUUUGUUGCCAGCGGUCCGGCCGGGAACUCAAAGGAGACUGCCAGUGAUAAACUGGAGGAAGGUGGGGAUGACGUCAAGUCAUCAUGGCCCUUACGACCAGGGCUACACACGUGCUACAAUGGCGCAUACAAAGAGAAGCGACCUCGCGAGAGCAAGCGGACCUCAUAAAGUGCGUCGUAGUCCGGAUUGGAGUCUGCAACUCGACUCCAUGAAGUCGGAAUCGCUAGUAAUCGUGGAUCAGAAUGCCACGGUGAAUACGUUCCCGGGCCUUGUACACACCGCCCGUCACACCAUGGGAGUGGGUUGCAAAAGAAGUAGGUAGCUUAACCUUCGGGAGGGCGCUUACCACUUUGUGAUUCAUGACUGGGGUGAAGUCGUAACAAGGUAACCGUAGGGGAACCUGCGGUUGGAUCACCUCCUUA
rnacentral:rRNA from 3 species